rnacentral:rRNA from 1 species
UUACGGCCAUAUAACUUUGAAGACCGGUUCGCAUACGAUCAUUGUAGUUAAGCAACGUCGAAUCUGGUCAGUACCUAGAUGGGUGACCACUUGGGAAUACCAGGUGCUGUGU